GCGGGUAUAGUUGAGCGGUUCAACAUUACCUUCCCAAGGUAAAAAGACGGGUUCGACUCCCGUUACCCGCUCAA
rnacentral:tRNA from 1 species